CUACCGUGCAGUCGAGCGGUACAGGUGUAGCAAUACAUGCUGACGAGCGGCGGACGGGUGAGUAACGCUUGGGAAUCUGCCUGUUAGUGGGGGACAACCCGGGGAAACUCGGGCUAAUACCGCAUACGCACUACGGUGGAAAGCCGGGGACCGCAAGGCCUGGCGCUAACAGAUGAGCCCAAGUCGGAUUAGCUAGUUGGUAGGGUAACGGCCUACCAAGGCGACGAUCCGUAACUGGUCUGAGAGGACGACCAGUCACACCGGAACUGAGACACGGUCCGGACUCCUACGGGAGGCAGCAGUGGGGAAUAUUGGACAAUGGGGGCAACCCUGAUCCAGCGACGCCGCGUGGGUGAAGAAGGCCUGCGGGUUGUAAAGCCCUUUCGGUUGGGAAGAAAAGUUGCGGUUUAAUACAUCGCGACCUUGACGUAACCAACUAAAGAAGCACCGGCUAACUCUGUGCCAGCAGCCGCGGUAAUACAGAGGGUGCGAGCGUUAAUCGGAAUUACUGGGCGUAAAGCGCGCGUAGGCGGCUUUUCAAGUCGAUUGUGAAAUCCCCGGGCUUAACCUGGGAACUGCAGUCGAGACUGUCUAGCUAGAGUAUGGGAGAGGGAAGUGGAAUUUCAGGUGUAGCGGUGAAAUGCGUAGAUAUCUGAAGGAACAUCAGUGGCGAAAGCGACUUCCUGGACCAAUACUGACGCUCAUGUGCGAAAGCGUGGGGAGCAAACAGGAUUAGAUACCCUGGUAGUCCACGCCAUAAACGAUGAGAACUGGAUGUCGGAGGGGUCUGCCCUUCGGUGUCGUAGCUAACGCGUUAAGUUCUCCGCCUGGGGAGUACGGCCCCCAAGGU
rnacentral:rRNA from 1 species